rnacentral:rRNA from 1 species
GAAUUUUGGACAAUGGGCGAAAGCCUGAUCCAGCAAUGCCGCGUGCAGGAUGAAGGCCUUCGGGUUGUAAACUGCUUUUGUACGGAACGAAAAGCUUAGGGUUAAUACCCUGGAGUCAUGACGGUACCGUAAGAAUACGCACCGGCUAACUCUGUCCCCGCAGCCGCGGUAAUCCGUAGGUUGCAAGCGUUAAUCGGAAUUACUGGGCGUAAAGCGUGCGCAGGCGGUUUUGUAAGACAGAGGGGAAAUCCCCGGGCUCAACCUGGGAACUGCCUUUGUGACUGCAGGGCUAGAGUACGGCAGAGGGGGGUGGAAUUCCGCGUGUAGCAGUGAAAUGCGUAGAUAUGCGGAGGAACACCGAUGGCGAAGGCAACACCCUGGGCCUGUACUGACGCUCAUGCACGAAAGCGUGGGGAGCAAACAG